CAAAUGUAUACACAAAUAAAAAUAAACUAAAAGAAAAGGGUUUAGCUUCACACACAGAUGUAUUUGUAGAAUUGCACCCCAAAGCGAUUAUAUAUCAGUGUAAUUGCACUGUAGGUGAGGCAGUGUAUGGGAAUAUUCCUGGUGGGAUUUCUGUAGGAGAUGCGUUCACUUCAAAUAUGAGCUGCGGUCUAAAAACUACUGCUUCUAGAAUCUAAAAACUACUGCCUCUAGAAUGUUCUUUGUCUCUCAUGUAAACACAAAGAAGCAAAACCCAUGACUUCUGAACCACAGGGCGUGUUUGACUUAUUUAUCUACUCAUUCUUCCUUGAACAACUUCCGUGCACGGCAGGGUGACAUUCUAGAGCAUGCAACUCGACAAGUAGGGAGUUUUGCUGGUUCCAAAUAUCCAACAGUCACUAUUUGCAGAGUUGAGUUCAACUUGAAUGUUCUUUAUUCAUUGCAUGCUCACUAAUGCUGUCUGGGACUAUAGCUGCUAACCAGCAGUACCAAGAACACCAUCACACCCAUCCUAGCAAAAGGCCAGAGUGAGCCUCUGCUUCAUCUACAGCUGCUGGAGCCGUGGCGAAGGUUUCUUAGUGUCUCCACAUGUCCCACAAAAGAACAGCCUUGUCGAAGGGGUGGCUGGGGUAGCGCCUGGCAAACAGGUAUCUCCGGUUGUUAUUGGUGGCUGCUCAGACGGUAAGCACUUGGGGAGCCGAGGGGCGGUCCCCAAGAGGUACUUCACUGAAUUUGCAACACUUCCACUUUGCAAUGUUCUUAAUGUUCACACGAGAGAAACUGUGCCAAGCCCAGCCCUCACACCUCUCCUUCCUCACAUGCACAAACGGAGGCCCCGGUGGUGCCAUCUGCUCUGAGUUCUUAAACUGUUGAUGUGACAUGAGUGGCCCGGACUCUCAAAAGUCAUCCUGUCUCUGCUGUCACUUCGGCCGGGACUGUGGCUCUCAUGCCUGAAAGCUCAAGGUUUGUUCUUUUUCUGUCACACCAAGGUCCCAUGCUAAAAGCCACUUCCAAGAGGACUAAGGAUCUCCACUGCGUCUUCAAGGGGCUCCCUGGAGCAGAUGCUGGAGGACCAGAAGCAUCAUAUCGUGCAGGCUCAUCAAGAAAGGGAUUAGGACCGAAGUCCUGGCCUGGCUACAUUAGGCAUGAGCCCAGGUUUAAAAGAAAAAAAAUAAGAAUGUGCGAAGCUCCAUGUUUAAAAAAUCCUGUCAAACUGGAGAUGUUAGUCACUACAGUAACUGACUACCCAGUACUUGACGAGAGAGGGUUGAAAGAAAGACGACAGGGAGGACGGGUAAUGAAGCGAGGAUGCUGGCUGAACACCCGAGUCGUUCCCACCUGCCCCAGCCGUCCAGACAACCAUGGCCACACAUUCUAUUGCACAGUGUCCCCAACAUUGACCCUGUAUUCCCAAGGCACCUGCAAAUGCCGCAUAUUGGGAAACUCGUGGGCGAACUUGUGUGCUCUGUCCCCAACCCCCCCUGACACAAAUGGUCAUUUGAUGAAGAGGUGAAGGGGAUGGCUCUCAACUUCAUGUUUUAUAUAGAACACAUGAGCUGUGGUGGCUGGUGUGGUGGUCACCUUGACACACCUGACAAGAAGGAAGCUCAGUUAAGAAAUUGCCUGU